rnacentral:rRNA from 1 species
UACGAAGGGGGCUAGCGUUGUUCGGAAUUACUGGGCGUAAAGCGCACGUAGGCGGACAUUUAAGUCAGGGGUGAAAUCCCGGGGCUCAACCCCGGAACUGCCUUUGAUACUGGGUGUCUUGAGUGUGGUAGAGGUGAGUGGAAUUGCGAGUGUAGAGGUGAAAUUCGUAGAUAUUCGCAGGAACACCAGUGGCGAAGGCGGCUCACUGGACCACAACUGACGCUGAGGUGCGAAAGCGUAGGGAGCAAACAGG